rnacentral:rRNA from 1 species
AGAUUGAACGCCGGCGGCAGGCCUAACACAUGCAAGUCGAACGGUAACAGGAAGCAGCUUGCUGCUUCGCUGACGAGUGGCGGACGGGUGAGUAAUGUCUGGGAAGCUGCCUGAUGGAGGGGGAUGACUACUGGAAACGGUAGCUAAUACCGCAUAAUGUCGCAAGACCAAAGAGGAAGACCUUCGGGCCUCUUGCCAUCGGAUGUGCCCAGAUGGGAUUAGCUUGUUGGUGGGGUAACGGCUCACCAAGGCGACGAUCCCUAGCUGGUCUGAGAGGAUGACCAGCCACACUGGAACUGAGACACGGUCCAGACUCCUACGGGAGGCAGCAGUGGGGAAUAUUGCACAAUGGGCGCAAGCCUGAUGCAGCCAUGCCGCGUGUAUGAAGAAGGCCUUCGGGUUGUAAAGUACUUUCAGCGGGGAGGAAGGGAGUAAAGUUAAUACCUUUGCUCAUUGACGUUACCCGCAGAAGAAGCACCGGCUAACUCCGUGCCAGCAGCCGCGGUAAUACGGAGGGUGCAAGCGUUAAUCGGAAUUACUGGGCGUAAAGCGCACGCAGGCGGUUUGUUAAGUCAGAUGUGAAAUCCCCGGGCUCAACCUGGGAACUGCAUCUGAUACUGGCAAGCUUGAGUCUCGUAGAGGGGGGUAGAAUUCCAGGUGUAGCGGUGAAAUGCGUAGAGAUCUGGAGGAAUACCGGUGGCGAAGGCGGCCCCCUGGACGAAGACUGACGCUCAGGUGCGAAAGCGUGGGGAGCAAACAGGAUUAGAUACCCUGGUAGUCCACGCCGUAAACGAUGUCGACUUGGAGGUUGUGCCCUUGAGGCGUGGCUUCCGGAGCUAACGCGUUAAGUCGACCGCCUGGGGAGUACGGCCGCAAGGUUAAAACUCAAAUGAAUUGACGGGGGCCCGCACAAGCGGUGGAGCAUGUGGUUUAAUUCGAUGCAACGCGAAGAACCUUACCUGGUCUUGACAUCCACGGAAGUUUUCAGAGAUGAGAAUGUGCCUUCGGGAACCGUGAGACAGGUGCUGCAUGGCUGUCGUCAGCUCGUGUUGUGAAAUGUUGGGUUAAGUCCCGCAACGAGCGCAACCCUUAUCCUUUGUUGCCAGCGGUCCGGCCGGGAACUCAAAGGAGACUGCCAGUGAUAAACUGGAGGAAGGUGGGGAUGACGUCAAGUCAUCAUGGCCCUUACGACCAGGGCUACACACGUGCUACAAUGGCGCAUACAAAGAGAAGCGACCUCGCGAGAGCAAGCGGACCUCAUAAAGUGCGUCGUAGUCCGGAUUGGAGUCUGCAACUCGACUCCAUGAAGUCGGAAUCGCUAGUAAUCGUGGAUCAGAAUGCCACGGUGAAUACGUUCCCGGGCCUUGUACACACCGCCCGUCACACCAUGGGAGUGGGUUGCAAAAGAAGUAGGUAGCUUAACCUUCGGGAGGGCGCUUACCACUUUGUGAUUCAUGACUGGGGUGAAGUCGUAACAAGGUA